AAAAUAUCGGACCCCCACCCCAAAAAGAAAACCCUAGCGCCCCUAACUCCUCCUUCUUCAGCAGAGAAGGACGACGCCACCCCUCCUAUUUUUUUUGGAUGAAACCCAGCCACCGACCCCUCCUUCUUCUACACCCAAAAACCUAGCUGCCCACCCUCCUCUAACACAUUAUUCUCUUCUGACCUCUCCCAUUCUUCGACACACGAAAAAAUCGAAGCAACCUUCAAAAUUCAAAAGAACUUCAACAACAAAUCUAGAUUUUUGAGAAUUAAAACGAAGAUAUGAGAGCUUAAGAGUUCGAAAAAAAUAGCAGCGGAGUGACUAAGCUGUUCUUUUAGAUCUAGAAAUUCAAAUUGUAGCGAAGAAGAAUUUCGAGGCUAUUUUGAUUUACUGCUAUACUCUGUAUUUCCUGGGGUUUUAAGGAGUAUUUUAGCUCAAAGACGCUUUAAUUUGGUGCUGAGUCUGCUGUGCUUUACCAAAUUUGUUGCUGAAAUAGUUAUUAUCAAUUUUUCAAAGCCAGAGAUAUAUUUUCUUACCAUAUUAUUUUACUGUCCAGGAGCGUACAUUGAAACAUGAGGCUGAAUUGCAAGUUUGAAUUUAUUGUGUUUAUUCUAUUGGAAACAACACAUAUAAGUGUGUAUUUCCUUCUUCUUCUUUUUGUGAAAUGGUGGAGGAAGAAAUUGAUGAAAACAUGUAAAAGGUAAAGGAACGAAUAAUUGGUGUAAUCCCAUAGGCAAAAUUGAAGGAAUUUCAUUAUUUUUGUUUUA